AACCGGCCACGCUAAUGGCGUGUAUGGCUAUACGACGGACUGAAUUUUAAUAUUUGUUAGUGGCAACAGGCCUUGGCACGUGUUUCUAUUGAACAAUAGCAGUGACAUGAAAGCAACGGCAGGAGCUGAGGCAACUUGUUCAAUUUCCAAACUGAUAAAGUUACGUGAGUAGUUGAUACUCUCGACACCACAGAGUUUCAUCCCAACAACAGCAGUUAAUUGGAUGUGUCUCCAGUUUUCGUUGCAUUAAUGACGGCAUUGAAGAAACAUACGUGACGUUUUGUUGGUUUGAAUAUCAACUACGGCGAUGUGAAUGACAGAAGCAAUUGCUUGACAGUGUUGUGCUUCCAACGUGAAUUGUUAGAUCUGCUGUGUGGAGUAUAUGAAGGUGAAGCAAGAGCCAGUGGGUGCUGCAUCGUUGGCUGCAGCUGCUUCCUUUAUUAGCUGGGGAGAGUAGAGAUAAUUGAACAUGUGGGAUACAUAAGCCACUCAUGUUCUCUCAACUUUAGGUUUGAAAGUCUCACUUGGCACCAUUAAAUCUAAUUGUGGGGCUGGGUCUACAUACAACAAGAGGCAAUUAGUUCUGCAUUUUCAGGAAAAUGUUCUGUGAGCUAUAAUGGACCGUCAAGUAGAUGCCAGGUUGUGACAACGGUCGGUGAUGGAGUUACUCUUAGAGACCGGCGAUGACUCUGCCACAUCGAUUCACAGGAAGUUGCGCCCUGUUUGUGGGGAGGACACACUGGAUCGCAACAGUAUCCAGCGGUGGUUGCAGAGGUUUAAAGAAGGUGAUUUCUCUCCACUGGACAGUCCACGGUGUAGAUCAUCGACGGCAGUGAGUGAUGUGAAUUAGACCAUUGAUCAAAUCGUCCAAAAUGACAGAUGUGUGACAAUACAACAGCUUGCUGAAAUGACUUUUGUCAUUGGGUAGUGUGGUAUCACUGGUACAGUCACUAGGGUACAGAAAAACCUGUGCACUUUGGGUGCCCAGAUUAUUGACAAGAGAAAUGAAAACUAUGAGGAAGAAUGUGUGUGAGGGUCUCAUGAAGACCUUUACUGAAGAGUGGAAACAGUGUUCUGGGUCCCUCUUGGAAGAAGAAACCAAGACUUUCACGAACAGCAGGCCGAAAGGUGAUGCCCUCCUCCUUCUGGGCUUUGUGUGAUGUCAUUUUCAUUGACUUUUUGGAAGCUGGCUCCAUAAUUAACUGGGACUGUUACUGUUUGUCAUCGGACAAGCUGCGACAUAUCAUCAAGACUAACAGACGACAGCUUCAGGGUCAGCUCAUCAGACUACACCAUGACAUUGCCAAACCCCAUACAGGAGAAAAUCGGGAAAAUGGGUUAGAAAGUUGUUCCUCAUCCUCCCUACAGCCCGGACUUGGCUCCGUGUGAUUUUUACUACUUUGGUCAUCUGAAGGCCCAUCUGUGCGGUAAAACAUUUGAUAUUGAGAAACACUUUAUUUCCUGUGACAAGCGAUGGUGUACAAGUCAGUCCCCAGAAUUUUACCAAAGUGAAUUUACAUAUUGGAAAAAAAUGUUGGGCCAGAUGCGUCACAGCUGAUGGAGGCUACAUUGAGUAGGCUCAAUGUAUAGAUAAAUGUUCCAAGUACGUUCACAAAAAAUUUCAUUCUCCUCCUGCAAAAAAUAAAAAAAAAUUAGAGACUACUGUGCAAAACUUUUUGUAAUGCCCUUUGUAUUUUGAUGAAUAUGCUAAUUCCUUCUCUACUUGGAAAUAUAGUGUCCUCUGAAGGUGAGCCCUUAGUUAGAGGGACUUCCAUUAAGCAGAUAUACCUAUCAGCUGUUUUCAAUCUAAGAAUAGGUGCAGCUCUAACACCAACUACUACAGGAAUUUUUUCACGAGAGAUCCCACCACCACCCACUAUACUGUCACCUAUUAGCUUUGCCAGCCUCCCGUUCCCAUACCUAUUGCCAACUGGCACCACUGAAAUUUGACCCAUGCCCUCUGCCAUCAGCACCCUCUCCAGCCACAUGUUAAUGCGCCUAACAGUCACAUUAAGAUGAGGCCAAUCAUGAUGCUGAAACAACUGCACAAAAUGCACAUUAGUGCCACCAGUUUGAGUAGAUAUCUUUACCAGGUCACCAUCUACAUCAUAUUCCCCGUCCCUAUCAAGACUGUUCCCUGCUUCAUCCACUAUCACUACCUGAUCCUCCUAGUUAAAAUUCCUACAUUACUCCACUAUGCUGUCACUCACCUGAGCCAACCCUGCACUAGGCUUCAUAAUGCUGGUGACCUGGUACUUACUCCCCAACACUUCCUGCAACUACUGGCCCAAACAUCUACCAUGUGAACUACCUAGCAGCAGAAUCUUCUUCUUUCUGUUAGACUGACUGGCAGCUGGCCUCUGCCAUGUGACUUGCUGAAAUGUCUAAUUGCACAGUUGCUGUAAUCAAAGUAUAUAGAUUACUGCUAAAGCUUCCAAAUCUUAACGAAAAGCAUUGGUGAAUACUCAACCAAAUAAUCUUGAAAAAGUGAUUCACAACCUUAAACUGUUUCAUUACA